UACGGAGGGAGCUAGCGUUGUUCGGAAUUACUGGGCGUAAAGCGCACGUAGGCGGCUUUGUAAGUUAGAGGUGAAAGCCCGGGGCUCAACUCCAGAAUUGCCUUUAAGACUGCAUCGCUCGAAUCCGGGAGAGGUGAGUGGAAUUCCGAGUGUAGAGGUGAAAUUCGUAGAUAUUCGGAAGAACACCAGUGGCGAAGGCGGCGCACUGGACCGGUAUUGACGCUGAGGUGCGAAAGCGUGGGGAGCAAACAGG
rnacentral:rRNA from 1 species